rnacentral:lncRNA from 1 species
CGCGGCCACAGCCAAAGCCAGCCCCGGGCGGGCGCCGGGAGCCCCGGCCGGAAGGCAAGCGAGGCGCGGGGAGUCCGCCGGCCGCGACCGCGCAGGCUGGUUACUUUGGUGGACACAGACUUGUCACUGCAGUGUAGAUCCCAACCAUCAGGCUGUCUUUCUCAAGAUGUUCUUGAGUGAGAGAAGCAGUAAAUAGAGGAGGAGGAAGAGGAGAAAGAGAGGAAGAAAAAAAAUUCGUGAUUAAGAAAGGUAAGUUCAAGUACACAGGGAAGAUGAAGUGAAGCAGUUCCCUUCACUUGGGCAAAUGAGUCUCCUGAGAA